UACAGAGGUCCCGAGCGUUGUUCGGAUUCACUGGGCGUAAAGGGUGCGUAGGUGGCUUGAAAAGUUUGAUGUGAAAGCUCAGGGCUUAACCCUGAAAUGGCAUUGAAUACUGUCGAGCUGGAGGUUUGGAGGGGGGACUGGAAUUUACGGUGUAGCGGUGAAAUGCGUAGAUAUCGUAAGGAAGACCAGUGGCGAAGGCGGGUCUCUGGACAGUUCCUGACGCUGAGGCACGAAGGCCAGGGGAGCAAACGGG
rnacentral:rRNA from 1 species